rfam:Trichobilharzia regenti genome assembly, scaffold: TRE_scaffold0000806
AUCUAGUUGACGAGUCCCAAAUAGGACGAAAUGCGCAUCCUGGAU